rnacentral:rRNA from 1 species
AGAACGAACGCUGGCGGCAUGCCUAAUACAUGCAAGUCGAACGAAGGCUUCGGCCUUAGUGGCGCACGGGUGCGUAACGCGUGGGAAUCUGCCCCUUGGUUCGGAAUAACAGUUGGAAACGACUGCUAAUACCGGAUGAUGACGAAAGUCCAAAGAUUUAUCGCCAAGGGAUGAGCCCGCGUAGGAUUAGCUAGUUGGUGAGGUAAAGGCUCACCAAGGCGACGAUCCUUAGCUGGUCUGAGAGGAUGAUCAGCCACACUGGGACUGAGACACGGCCCAGACUCCUACGGGAGCAGCAGUAGGGAAUAGUUGGACAAGUGGGACGAAAG